rnacentral:lncRNA from 1 species
AAAGAUUGAGCGACGGCAUCACCGUGACCGGGCUUGUGGUUCUCCGUAUGAACUCCACCAGUGUGACCGGGCUUGUGGUUCUCCGUAGAAACUCCACCGGUGUGACCAGGCUUGUGGUUCUCAGUCGAAACUCCACCGGUGUGACCAGGUUUGUGGUUGUCAGUUGAAACUCCACCGGUGUGACCAGGCUUGUGGUUGUCAACGUGAACUUCUGGCUUGUGAUUGUUCGUUGACGCGUCCGAGUGACCGGGCUUGUGAUUUUUCGUUGACAUCUCUCCCGCUGUCCAAUACGGCGGUAUAGCUGCGUCAGGCUUGUGGUUCUCCGUGUGAAACCCACCGGUGUGCCCAGGCUUGUGAUUGUUCGUCGACACGUCCGAGUGGCCAGGCUUGUGAUCAUCUGGCUGGACCACGCCAUGCCCGGGCUUGUGGUUCUUCACGGAGCCUCCAAACUCAGGGUGAUCGUAAGAGUCUGCAUUGCCAACCAACGUCUUGUCGCGAGCUUCAGCAACCUGCAGGACGAGGAUCGACAAGAGACAAGUUAGCACAACAAUCGGCUUGAGUAGCUCCAUAUGAUCAUGCAGAACAGUAGCGCAGCCAAGAUGAACGAGAGCCGAAUGAAUAAAAAUGAGACAAUGAAACGAGAAUGAAUGCUAGAAACCAGCAGCAAGGAUAGUAUAUAUAAGGAAGCAAACCAACUUGCAGAGGAGAUCAAGAGCAAUGGAGACCCACCACGUAAUGCGUGGUCCUUGUCAUGGCCACUAACCGAUGCCCAAUAAGCAGCAACAGAUACACUGCUCGCAAUGAUAACGGAGAACAUCAUUUGCUUACACUUGGUGGAAGUGGCUUAGCUCCAAGUGUGAACGCCAACGUGUUCCAAAGGUCUGCAGACGCAAAAGCUGCAACAGAGUCAGGACCGGUGAGUGGAAAAUAGCGAGACCUUACAUACCAGUUGCUUCUUUGACAAAACAAGAGCCACUCUCAUCUGCGGGACCCGAUGGUCACUUGCGAUUGCCCAUCUUUUCGUCACGUCAAGUUCUCCCAAAACACGAAAUAUGCGACCAUCCAAAACCACUUCGCCAUCAGAAUCCUCCUCUCCAGCCUGCUUAUUUUAUAAAGCCGGGAUCUUGACCAGAUUUGGGGUGCAGGAUAGAGCACGCAAUUACCUGAGCCAACUCGCAAGCUUAAACAACGAGGUUUUUGUUCCCUCAUUAUUCUCUCCGCGUUGUUGAAAGCCGCUUGUAAUCCAAAAGUUGGGCAGCGAAAGCGAGAUCGUCGUUGUGGACGCCAGAAGGUGAGAGGGGAGCCUUGUCACUGCAAAACAGUAGAGCUUUCAUCAUUGCCACAAGAAAAGAGAAAAGCAAACCUGUCGCUCUUGUUCCCAGUUUCAAGUGGAAAAUAGCUUGGUGAAACCAAGCGUCGGAAAGACUCAAGCAUUUCUGGUCGAGCCUGAGAUAUCACGGAAGGUAGAGACGGAAGUUCCAGCGUUUCCAUCUCCUCUAAAGAAACUCGAUUUAAGAGACAAUUAUGGAAUGAAAAUCCAAGCUCACCUCUAAACAGUGAAGAGCUCCCGUGGUUAUUUGCUGCUUCGUUCUCCUCGAAGUCCAAGUCCAAGUCUUUUGGAAGUGGCAAUACCUACAAUCAAUCCAUCCAUCUCCUCCCACCAACACGAAAUCUAAACACUCCACUCACCGGAACGACGACACCGCUGGUGAAUUGCGAUCCCUGGAGCAAUUUCCUGCAAAAUCUCCUCUCUAGCAAAUCCACAAGAGAACCGUUCGUGAAUCGAUAACCUCUUCCAGACGGGCGGAGCUGCCAGAUCCUGCUCUCGGCGACGCUUGCCGUCAUUGCUGGCCUGGAAAUCAGCUACAUCAGGGAGGAGAGACAGAGAUCGAGCCUACCGGAUUGCCAAACGCUCCAAGAUUUUGAGGCGCCAUGCCCAAGAACCCUAGAGUCUUGGCGGGAAGAAAAUUUUAAAAGAGUAUAAGAAGAGAAUUAGUCACAAACUAUCAAAAAUAUGCUCCACUUUACCACACGUAGAUAGCUGUAACAAAACAAGAAAACUAACUUAAGCAUGAAGAUAAAAUCGGCAUAAGAAAUUUCACCCACUGGGCUGAGCAUCCAAUGAUCAAAGCUUGAACGAAUAAAGAAGAGCUUGCGGCGCUGUUCAAGAGAAACUCCA